AGGACGAACGCUGGCGGCGUGCCUAACACAUGCAAGUCGAACGAGGUUCAUUCAGUAGCAAUACUGAAGAAGAUCAAGUGGCGAACGGGUGAGUAGCACGUGAGCAACCUACCCCGAAGACCGGGACAACACCGGGAAACCGGUGCUAAUACCGGAUAUCCCCAUCGGAUCGCAUGGUUUGAUGAGGAAAUGGAUUCCGCUUUGGGAGGGGCUCGCGGCCUAUCAGCUUGUUGGUGAGGUAACGGCUCACCAAGGCUUCGACGGGUAGCUGGUCUGAGAGGACGAUCAGCCACACUGGGACUGAGACACGGCCCAGACUCCUACGGGAGGCAGCAGUGGGGAAUCUUGCACAAUGGGCGAAAGCCUGAUGCAGCAACGCCGCGUGAGGGACGAAGGCUUUCUGAGUUGUAAACCUCUUUCAGCAGGGACGAUUGUGACGGUACCUGCAGAAGAAGCCCGGCAACUACGUGCCAGCAGCCGCGGUAA
rnacentral:rRNA from 1 species